rnacentral:tRNA from 1 species
GAGGGUGUAGCUCAGCAGAAGAGCUCAUGCUUAACACGCAUGAGGUCCUAGGUUCAAGCCCCAGGACCUCCA